rnacentral:lncRNA from 1 species
UGGAUUGCAUCGUUGAAAAGGGAGAAUGCAGCAGACUGGGCAAAGCUAUCCAAACCUUCGUCAAGGACUAUUCCCAAGGUCAAGCGUGCCAGAUCUGCACCGACUGCGAAAUGAGGAGGAUCACGUACGUGCUCGACAAGCUCAAGUGUGACCAUCCCGCAGAGGCCACGAGGCUCACGGACAACCUCGGCUUUGACAUCUUCGCCGUCUACAACGUGGGCAAGACGUGCUGAGUCUCCAGGCAGGCUUGUCAUCUCCUCAGAGGAAAUCGCCCCUCCAAUAAAUUCCAUUCAAAGAA